rnacentral:rRNA from 1 species
GACGAACGCUGGCGGCGUGCUUAACACAUGCAAGUCGAACGAUGAAGCCGGAGCUUGCUCUGGUGAAUUAGUGGCGAACGGGUGAGUAACACGUGAGUAACCUGCCCUUGACUCUGGGAUAACUGCUAGAAAUGGUAGCUAAUACCGGAUACGACCCUCGGAGGCAUCUCCCGGGGGUGGAAAGAAUUUCGGUCAAGGAUGGACUCGCGGCCAAUCAGCUAGUUGGUGAGGUAACGGCUCCCCAAGGCGACGACGGGUAGCCGGCCUGUGAGGGUGACCGGCCACACUGGGACUGAGACACGGCCCAGACUCCUACGGGAGGCAGCAGUGGGGAAUAUUGCACAAUGGGCGCAAGCCUGAUGCAGCAACGCCGCGUGAGGGAUGACGGCCUUCGGGUUGUAAACCUCUUUUAGUAGGGAAGAAGCGAAAGUGACGGUACCUGCAGAAAAAGCACCGGCUAACUACGUGCCAGCCGCCGCCGUAA